GUCGCGAUGAGUACCCACACAGAUUGAUACGGUUUAUGUAGAAAAGAGAAAUGAACGUUCCCAUACGUUCAUACUAGUGUCCCGUUCGUCUAGAGGCCUAGGACACCGCCCUUUCACGGCGGUAACAGGGGUUCGACUCCCCUACGGGAUACCAUUGGGUCGUUAGCUCAGUUGGUAGAGCAGUUGACUUUUAAUCAAUUGGUCGCAGGUUCGAAUCCUGCACGACCCACCAUUUCCUGCCACAGGAAAUCAAAAUAUAUGUGGGCGAUUAGCUCAGUUGGGAGAGCACCUGCCUUACAAGCAGGGGGUCACUGGUUCGAGCCCGGUAUCGCCCACCAUUCUCUAAAUAUUUUUGGAAUUUUAAUCCAAACCACAUCAAACUCUUGCUGCUGGUUCGGAUUUUUGUCGCCUAAUUUGCGCACUGAAAAUCUUUAGAAAAUGCAUAUCUUUCGAUAGAAAGUGGCAUCGCUCUUUAACAAUUGGGAAAGCUGACGAAUAACAACAAUCCCUUAUCUACGGAUAGCGUUGUUAUCAAAUAAAAGUCUCAAUCUAAAGACUGUCAUUAGUACACCCCAUCAG
rnacentral:tRNA from 1 species